rnacentral:tRNA from 1 species
ACCCCGGUGGCGGAAUCGGUAGACGCGAAGGACUUAAAAUCCUUUUUCCCGAAAGGGAAGUGCAGGUUCAACUCCUGUCCGGGGUACAA